rnacentral:rRNA from 1 species
UGGGCAGUAGACGUAGUUGCCGAUGGUCGCUCAGCUCGGGGGUCGAGAUAGGGCGUCGUCGCUACGGGCGGUGGUACGGCGACUGGUAGAGGGGUGGCGCGGAGGAGGUGGCGGUGGUGCCGGCUCGGUGCGAGGUCGUCGUCGCGGGGUGGCGGGCGGAGCGCGAGGAGGGCGCGGCGCGGCGAGCCGAGGCGACGCGGGGGCUGCUCCAGCGCCGGUGUCGGCGGCUCGGCCUCGUCGUCCCCCUCCUCCUCCUCAAGCACGAGGAGCGGAGGUUGGCGUCGCUGAAGUUGCUCCAGUAGUACCAGUAGCUGAGCGGGAGGUUGGCGAUGGAGCAGGAGCUGGGGUCGGCCUUACAGGUGUCGUAAGAGGGGUUCUUCUCGCGUACCUGGUUAAGGAUGACCCUACUCAAACAGUCGGAUGGAGGGCAACAAGGUGCACCAGGACAACGUGAAGAUCCAAACCCACGACCCUGUCGUCGUGUAUACUACGAUCUUCAAACCGGGACCUAUGUUGAAUAGCCUACCCUCUAACUAGGCUGCUAUUAACUUAACAGCUCCCUAAUAAAACCAUACAGGUUAAAUCUCUUCUGGUGCCUUAAUCCACCAAGUGAAAGCCACGCAUAUCCGCUACGUGAAAGGGGUAGUCGAUGUCAACUUCCUCCUAAACGACCGUAACAACAACUAAAUAAACGACUACCUUUUCAGAAUGGAGUCGAUGUUCUUCGACUUUGAACCAAUCUCUAACGCUUCUUCGAGUACGGUCUACCAGCUUAGUACCAGUUGACGCCACCUCGUCUAUGGGGACAUAGAGAACGACGACUGUGCCCACAAAGCAGAACCCAGGUCUUAGGAUGUUAGUUCCGAGACACGCGACGUAAGGGACCCGUCGAUUUGACCUUCUCCGAAAGUCUCUUCCUCUCACAUUUGAUGCAGCGCAACUGCCCAGGGGAAGGUCUGGACCUCCUCACCAGUUGGAGCCAAGGAUCGCUCGAUUCGGGAUCUCACUUUGUUACCCACGGAACGCUCGAACGCACUCCUACACGCAAAAGAAGACCAACGUGGAAAUGAACGAAGAUGUUGAAACAGACAGAGGGAGGUACCAGGAAAAUUCCACAUGUAUUCCGGUAGACAGACGUAGACUUCUUCAUGGUAUAGUAUAGUCGUGAGUGUACAGGUUCCUUCCUUAACGUUACACCUUCCAUCAGAUAGACCGAGGGUUUCGAACUUCUUGUCGUCUCGCUUCUGGACAGGCAAAUUACCUCAACUACGCACAUUAGGACUUUGGCUCGGCUCCCUUCUUGCGUAGCGCGAUGUCAAAAACCGUACAGGGCGACUGGACGACAACUAAUAGUAAGUAGUAAGGUACGGAAGUACCACAGUUUCACAGUUCAAGUCUGCCACUAAUGUAGUCCAAGAAUCAAGAAUGAGUCGAUGUAUUAACAAUAUGAGCGCCACCGCGACGCAUUCAGCCGGUACUUCGUAAUGGAGCCGUUGCUGCACACUCGACAAAGCCAUCAGGAAAGUCAACACAAACUACUUGAGCAGAGGCAAACACACGUAACAAACACUACUUGACGGUGCACUAGAGCUUGUUUAAGAGCGCGCUUUAUUAAAAAACUCAAUAGGUCAUGGCAACUCC